GACGAACGCUGGCGGCGUGCUUAACACAUGCAAGUCGAACGGUAAGGCCCUUCGAGGUACACGAGUGGCGAACGGGUGAGUAACACGUGGGUGAGCUGCCCUGCACUUCGGGAUAAGCCUGGGAAACUGGGUCUAAUACCGGAUAGGACCACUGCCUGCAUGGGUGGUGGGGGAAAGCUUUUAAGGGGUGGGAUGGGCCCGCGGCCUAUCAGCUUGUUGGUGGGGUGAUGGCCUACCAAGGCGACGACGGGUAGCCGGCCUGAGAGGGUGACCGGCCACACUGGGACUGAGAUACGGCCCAGACUCCUACGGGAGGCAGCAGUGGGGAAUAUUGCACAAUGGGCGCAAGCCUGAUGCAGCGACGCCGCGUGAGGGAUGACGGCCUUCGGGUUGUAAACCUCUUUCAGCACCGACGAAGCGCAAGUGACGGUAGGUGCAGAAGAAGGACCGGCCAACUACGUGCCAGCCGCCGCCGUAA
rnacentral:rRNA from 1 species